rnacentral:rRNA from 1 species
UGGGGAAUAUUGGACAAUGGGCGAAAGCCUGAUCCAGCCAUGCCGCGUGUGUGAAGAAGGUCUUCGGAUUGUAAAGCACUUUAAGUUGGGAGGAAGGGCAGUAAGCGAAUACCUGGCGGUUUUGACGUUACCGACAGAAUAAGCACCGGUUAAUUCGGUGCCAGCAGCGGCGGUAAUACAGAGGGUGCAAGCGUUAAUCGGAAUUACUGGGCGUAAAGCGCGCGUAGGUGGUUCGUUAAGUGGAAUGUGAAAGCCCCGGGCUCAACCUGGGAACUGCAUCCAAAACUGGCGAGCUAGGGUAGGGCAGAGGGUGGUGGAAUUUCCUGUGUAGCGGUGAAAUGCGUAGAUAUAGGAAGGAACACCAGUGGCGAAGGCGACCACCUGGGCUCAUACUGACACUGAGGUGCGAAAGCGUGGGGAGCAAACAGG